AACGAACGCUGGCGGCAGGCUUAACACAUGCAAGUCGAACGCCCGUAGCAAUACGGGAGUGGCGGACGGGUGAGUAACGCGUGGGAACGUGCCCUGAGGUACGGAAUAACUGCGGGAAACUGCAGCUAAUACCGUAUGAGCCCCGCAAGGGGGAAAGAUUUAUCGCCUUAGGAGCGGCCCGCGUCGGAUUAGCUAGUUGGUGGGGUCACGGCUUACCAAGGCUUCGAUCCGUAGCUGGUCUGAGAGGAUGAUCAGCCGCACUGGGACUGAGACACGGCCCAGACUCCUACGGGAGGCAGCAGUGGGGACUCUUGCGCAAUGGGGGCAACCCUGACGCAGCCAUGCCGCGUGGAAGAUGAAGGCCUUAGGGUUGUAAAGUUCUUUUGCCCGUGACGAUGAUGACGGUAACGGGAGAAUAAACUCCGGCUAACUUCGUGCCAGCCGCCGCCGUAAGAC
rnacentral:rRNA from 1 species